AGGUCGAGACGACAUCAGUUGAUAACAGUCUACACCAUAGAUGAUCGAGGUCUGUAUCCAGAAUCAAGAACCUGUCAUGCACAGUGGACCACUUAACGAUGGAGCGCCAAUAAUUUUUAGAGGUCGAGAAAACAACAGAUGACAAAUGUCUACACUAAGGAUGAAGUAGCAGCAAACAGUUUGCCAUCACUUCUGGGUCUGGAGAAUAAUGUGGUCCUGAGGAUUCAACAUCAAGGAACAGCCAUGACAUGUGCAGUGGACGACUCCAUGGGACACUAUCAAUAAUGUUUAAAGGUCGAGACGACAUCAGAUGACAACAGUUUAUACACCAUAGAUGAUCGAGGUCUGUUUCCAGAAUCAAGAGCCUGCCAAGACAUGCACAGUGGGCCACUCUACGUGAGACCGUCAUUAAUGUUUGGAGGGGACGCUACCGGCCGUGUGCAGGCAGUUCUGGUGGAGAGAGGAGAAGGCACACCUCUAAGAACAUCGAGUCCAUCCGAUCAUCGAUCGGGCACACCGACAAGUCAAGCCAACCUUCUUCCUCUAAGUUAAGAGGCACUGAACAGGACUAAGGUUGAAGAUGACCCGUCACUUCAUGCUUGUCCUGGCGCUGACACUCCUGGCUGGAGCCGUGUAUCCAGCCAAGAGCGAAUGGCAGGGACAGCAACUCAAGGAUAAAGAUGCUUCAUCUGCAAUUGAGGAAGCUGAACUUCUGCUUAAAGAGCUUGAAGAUCUGGUGUUGGGUGACAACAAUAAUGGUGGUGAUCAGGACAUGGCCAUACCGCACGGAAAACGACAGUCUGUCUGCAAUGAUCCACUCGGAAUGCAAUCUGGUGCCAUACCUGAUAGCAGCAUUACUGCAUCCUCGAUCUACAGUGCUACCUACCAGCCAUACCACGCACGGCUACACGGUUCUGGUCGCAGUUGGAU